AGUUGUCCCGCGUGGCCCGGGCUGUGGGAAGCAGGUCCUGGCUCUUGGUCCGAGCCAUCGUGCUUUGUAUGAUGGAAAGGCAAAUCCACGCGAAUCUCUUGAAAAAGAGAGGAAUUCUGCCCAGACUCUCCAGCAGUUGGUAGCAGGCAAGCUUUCUCCUGUGUCGCCUGGAAAAGUUGCAAAAUUGCUCUUCACCUGUAAGAACAUGCAUUUUAUCUUCCAGUCUCUUCUUGUCAAUUUGGAAAUUGCAGACACCCCGGCUCAGGAGAAAUGGCUCUGUGCAUUGGUUUUCCUGGCUGACCCUGAGAAUAAGCAACUCUGUCCGCUUGUUGUCUGAAGUUGUUUGAAGAUGAUUAGAGGAGAAAUAACACCAAAGCCCUGAGCAAUGCUUUGCAGACGUCUAGGGGCUCAGGAUGUGUGAUGUAGCCCAGUUCUAUUUGUUGACAUCCAGCUUUUGAAAGCAUCAGCCUUUGAGAGUGGAACAAUAUUGGAGCUAUGGAGUCACCUUUACCUGGAAAUAUCGAAGGGUCAUGAACUUGUCGUCGUCGUCAUCAUCAUUGUCAUCGUCAUCAUCAUCACCAUCACCACCAGCAGCAGCAGCAGCAGCAGCAGCAGCAGCAAGAUUUUGUGUUGGGAAGGUACUUCCAAAUGCUACAGGGGACAGAAGGUCAUCAGCUAUUGGCCCAGGGAUUAUAGCAUGGAAGAGUUCCUCUUCUCAGAGGAUAUUAAACUUUUUGAGGAUU
rnacentral:lncRNA from 1 species